CGCGGAGUGGAGCAGCUAGGUAGCUCGUCAGGCUCAUAACCCGAAGGUCACAGGUUCAAAUCCUGUCUCCGCAA
rnacentral:tRNA from 1 species